UACGUAGGGGGCGAGCGUUGUCCGGAAUCAUUGGGCGUAAAGGGCUCGUAGGCGGUCUGUCACGUCGGGAGUGAAAACUCAGGGCUUAACCCUGAGCCUGCUUCCGAUACGGGCAGACUAGAGGUAUGCAGGGGAGAACGGAAUUCCUGGUGUAGCGGUGAAAUGCGCAGAUAUCAGGAGGAACACCGGUGGCGAAGGCGGUUCUCUGGGCAUUACCUGACGCUGAGGAGCGAAAGUGUGGGGAGCGAACAGG
rnacentral:rRNA from 1 species